CAGAUAAUAUAAGCAAUAGGGCUAGUAUAUUUAGUGUAUGGAAGGACUGUUAGGUGUACAUGUCCAACUGGCAGGUGUCAUUUUCAUGGUUCAGUGGUUAUAGUUAAGCUUUUGUGUUUUGAUCUGUUUUUCUCAUACUUUAUGCAAUAGGUCUACUAUAUUUGUUGUAUGGAAUGAUUGUAAGGUGUACAUGUCUAGCGGGCAGAUGUCGUCUGACCUUGACCUCAGUUUCAUGGUUCAGUGGUCAGAGUUAAGUUUUUAAGUUUUGGUCUUUUUAUCCAAUAUUAUAUGCCAAAGGUCAACUAUAUUUGGUGUAUGGAAAUAUAUUAUGAUCUUUAUGUCAGUCCCGCAGAUUUAAUUUGACCAUGACCUCAAUUUCACGGUUCAUUGUGUUUUGGUCUAUUUUUCUUAAACUAUAAGUAAUAGGUCAACUUUAUUUAUUGUAUGGAAGCAUUGUUGGCUGUAAAUGUCUGCCUGGCAUUGUUCAUCUGACCUUGACCUCAUUUUCAUGGUUCAUUGGUCUUUGUUUAGCAAUCUUGAUUAAUGUUAAGUUUUGUGACAAAUUGUAAUAAAGCUUUAUACUUAGUACUAUCAACAUAAUAUCAAUGAUUAGUAAAGAAGGCGAGACUUUUCAGUGUGUGCACUCUUGUUUUUAUAUCCAUACAAAGUAAUUGUAUAUAAUUAGAUAAUAUUUUCUUGUUUGACCCUUCUCUUCUCGUAACUCCCACUUUUUGUGGGGUUCAUGUAGCGUAGUCUUUCUCUUUUAAAUUGUGGCAUAUGUACUUCCAUGUGUCUAUUAGUCUUUUCUAUUUUAGCUAUAAGUGAGGUCAGUUUAUUUUCGAACUAUGAGUUUGACUAUACCUCUGGUAUUUUUCGCCUCUCUUUUCUAAUAUUUGUAUAUACACACACAUACAUGUAGGUCUUUUAAUUUAGAUUUUGCAUAAAUGUUCUUUUUCAAUCUCAUGUAUUCGUAAAGGUAAAGCUUCUUAAAUAUCUGUUUCUCUGUGGAAUGCAAUAAUUAUUGUUUUAUUACGCAUUAUAUCACAUUCAUAUGAUGAAAUUAGUCGUGAAAGUUGUGGAUAUGCCCAUGGUUGAAAACCAAAUUAUAUUAUGUACUUAUAUUCGUGUUUAAAAAAUAAUAUCCUACUUUUUAUAUGUGUAGAUCCGUCAUUGUUGUCACAUUCAUACUAACAUAGAUUAUGAAAUAG
rnacentral:lncRNA from 1 species